GCAGAGUGGGAGGGGACGGAGCUGUGCUGGGGGAACCAGCCCGCAGGGUGCUGCUGUGACAUGUCAGCUCUGAGUCCCUGAAGUCAGCAUGUUGCUCAAUGCUGCAGGUAUAAAUCAGAGAAGUUCCUCCUGCUCUUGCUGCAAAAUCAGUGAACAUACAGGGCGGAAUGGUGGUUAGCGUUGUCGCCUCACAGCAAGACGGUUCCGGUUUCAAAUGUGCCAGCCAGAUGGGACUGUUCUCCCUGUGAUAGUCCGACGAACUGUCCAGUGUGCACAACGUCAGCUGGAAUAUGGGAUAACCUCCCCUCUCAUGACCCUAAACAGGAUGAGCAGCCACUUAUCCAGGGUCAGGUCGCAGGGGCAGCAGGCUGAGCAAGGUACUCCAGGUGUCGCUCUCCCAAGCCACACUUUCCAGCUCCUCCUGGAGAUCCUGAGACAUUCCCAGGCCUGAUGGGAUACAUAAUCCCUCCAGGAUAUUGUGGGUCUACCCCACAGCCUCCUAGCAGUUGGAUGUGCCUCGAAAACCUCUAAUGGGAGGUGCUCAGGAUAAGUUGCCCAAACCACCUCAACUGGCCCUGUUGAUGUGAAGGAGCAGCAGCUCUAUUCUAGCUCCCCACAGAUAAAAACAAAAACCAUGAACCAUCAACAAAAGUAUGAAAAGUAUUAAAAUUUCAACUUCAUGACAGUGCCAGAUGAAAUGUCGGGAUCGUCAGAGUUGUUACAGUUCAUCCUAUGGAAGACAUGACAUGUAGAGGUAAAAUUAAGUUCAGGGUAUUAAAACUAUCUGUACUAAAUUUCUUGGCAUUCCUCUUAACAGUUGUCAAGACAUUUCUUUAAAAAAACUAACAUACUGACAGACAGAGUUUGCCAUCCACAGAGCCACACUGCUUGCGUGACUAAAGAUAAACAAAACCAGAAAUAUUCUGGCCUUUGGGGCUUGUAUGCUAAUAUGGACAUUCACUUUAAACCAAGGCCAGUAAAAAAAAAAGCUCACUGAUCAGGGGCUUAAGCAAAAAUCCGUAACACCUGAGUAUCAUCUUCAACAAAGAAGAUGUUGUGCUGUAAUUUGGAUGCCUCACUGGCAGAAAAGAUCUCUCCCAUUUGUCAGUGGAUAUCCUAGUAUCCUCUCCGCCCCACUUCUUGAAUCUUUCAUUUCCCCAGCCAAUUACAGAGUGAGUCACUGAGCCGAGUGUGAUUUUUCUACUGCAGAGGGAAUGAUCUCAUCGAUCUCAUUCCUGGGAAUCUGCUUUUCAGACAACUGCAGGCAUGUGGAGCUCUGUCUGAAGGCCUGAGUCAAUUUGAGUCAGACUCUAACCUAUACCAGUUACCGCGUAACACCAGUGGCACUGAUGUCAAACCUCAGGUGUCAUCGGCAGUGCAUCAUGAGUGACACUGCUUUUGAAGUCUUGUAUAAACUUUGCUCAAUGAGCUGCUGUGACGCAGCAGAGAACGCAAAGAAAAUAACAAAUGAUGUAAUGAUGCAAACUGUGUGAUCACUUUACAGGAUGAAAACAAACACGUUAGAGAAUGUGAGUCAGAUGAUGUCUCUCCAAAGUCACUGUGGUGUAGUCAGAUUGAUUCGUUGUACACAAACCUAGAACUCUCCUUUCAGGACUUUGGAUCCAGGCAAAUUAACUGACAAAUAAUCAAUCAACAAUAAAAGUUGAGGAAGAACAUUGAAUAGCUAAAAAACACACACAUGACACAUAAACAAAGCCAGUGAUCAUGUUUCAGAAGGUGUCACCAGACAGUAUUUACAGACUGCUCCUUUAGUUGUUAGCCAGGGUACAUCAAAGGAUGAAUAACCACAGAACAAGAAAGGGUAAGGGGGCUGUGGUCUGCACUGGAGAUUUAUUGAGCAGAUGAACAGGCUGACGUUUUGGAUAUGCGUCUUCUUCAAAGCAUGUUCCCAAUAAAUCUGAGUCUAACUACAGAGAGCUCCCAAUCCUCUGUUCUUUUUCCCCGGAUGGUCAUCAUUCAACAAACCCCAGGCAGCUUCUGAGAGGCCCUUUUAAAUCCCUACAAAUCUAUCGACUCUCUGAUUUUGCCUCUGUGUUACGUAGCCAAGAAGAACCUGAGGGGAAGCAGGUAAGACAAGCGGUGUUGUAAUCAUGAGCUGUCUGACUCUGUCUGGACUGUCUCUGCUGUGUGGGAGAGUGAUGUCAUCUAAAUGGUUGCACAAUCGUUGAUUCCUCAGAUCUGUCAUCGAGAAUGAAGAGAGUCUAAUAAUUAUUAAUGUAGUCAUACAAUAUCAAGUAAUCAGAUGGGACCAAGUCAUUGUUUUGCAGGUCACAACUAAAGCCCUGUGUCCACCAAGCAGUACGGUACAGUUCAGUUCGUAGUGCAUUUUGUCCGUUUCCACUGUGAAAAGUUGUGGAUGUUACCAAUGGAACCGUUCUGUACUGUCCCCAUUUUUGGUCACCCUUCUGUCAGAGU